GGUCCGCCGGACCAGGAUAUGGGCGCAGCAGACCGCAGGCGGAGGAACCGACGAGGAGUAAUUGUAUGGCUUGGAGAUUUCGGAUGCCCAAAACAUGGUUUCGGGCACUCGAAACUGGCCGUUUCUGCAGGGACAGCAGAUUGGUGGUGGUUGUUCCUGGGGCUUAUCUGAUCAUUCCUCCACACUAUAAAUAAAUGCUUGUGGAUUGCAGUUUCAGCAGAAUUUCAGCAGCGACCUUCGGCGUUUUGGCUCGUGUGCGACGUAGGAAGCUCCGUUUGCUACAAAACUUGAUUUGUUGGAUUCUAGACUUCAAGAGAAAUUCGUAGAGCCCAAAUUGACAGAAUUUGGUUAAGGAGUUGGAUUGUGAACUAGAGAUUGAUACUCCAGCACAGCCCACUAGUUUUGGAACCUUCCUUCAUCUGAUUUGAGCUUUGGAAGAUCAUUCGAGUAGCCUAGUUGCUGGUUGUGGUGUUCUCGGCUGAGGCUUUUGGCAACUUCGUGACCUUCUCGAUGCCAUGGACUGAGCGCUAGAGAGCCUUCGGUUGCGACUGCUGCUACUGCGAAUUCUGAUCGUAGAAAGGAGUCGCGAGUUAGAUCCCUUCCCAGUUGCUGCGGAUCUAGAGUAUACCGGCUACAGAUAGUGGUAGUUUUGAGUUCUUAUACAUACUUAUGUUGUAUCUCGCUGGAGCGAGC